CUUCUUUAUGCCUUGACUUCAAAUCAAGGCACACCCAAGUCUUCCCUUUUUUGCAAUGUAAAGCUUUCUCACUCCUCUGCCUGCCUCUGACUCUCUGCCAAAAUGCAAGUGAUGGCAGCUGACUCCCUUGUUAUAGCAAGUUCUGAAUAAAUAGCUUUUGCUUGUUCUCAGUUGGCUGGUCUUCAUUUAUUUCCACAGAGAAAAUUCUACUAUCUAAAUGCACUCAUUGGCUGGCCAGAAAUAAGGAAAAACAAACAAACAAACAAACAAAUUAAGUUGUGGAAUCCAGGGAGGUAAGCCGAACACAAAAUGGUUUUCCUUUUUUCUUUUUUCUUUUUUCUUUGCUUGUCUGUCUUUCUUUCUUUCUUUCUUUCUUUCUUUCUUUUUUUUUUUUAGAGGAAAUUUGCUGUAUCUGAUGAGCCUGUGCUUUGGGAUUUGUGACAUCAUGAAGCAGAUGGAACAUGAGAUACGACUUUCUACCAAUGGAGAAAAUAAAUGUGUGUGUUUUGCAGCAUGGAGGGGUGGAGGUAGAAAAGGAAGAGGAAAGUGAGGCAAAAUUCAACUAAUGCAUCAUUUUGACACAUCCGUUGUUUGGUCAGUGGUGUGCAGUCUGCUAUUUCUGAUAUAAUAAAUGUUUACGGUACUUCCA
rnacentral:lncRNA from 1 species